UCUGAGUGAAGAAAUAGUAGGGUUGGUAGUUUGAUACAACAAGAACAGCGACCAAGUGAGAUUUAUAGACAAGAGAGGUGAAUGAAUAGCACAGCAUGAAGAUUGUGACGUUGAUAGAGAGAGAGAGAGAGAGAGAGAGAGAGAGAGAGAGAGAGAGAGAGAGAGAGAGAGAGUGGGUUGGUCUGUUGUUUUGCGUUUGGUUCUGCCACACCUCCCCCCUCUGUCUCUGUUUGGUCGAAGAUUUAGA
rnacentral:lncRNA from 1 species